UGGGGGAUCGUCUAGUGGUAAGACAACUGACUCUGGAUCAGUCGACCGAGGUUCGAAUCCUCGUCCCCCAGCCU
rnacentral:tRNA from 1 species